GAUGCUUAGAGUGUUGUUCUCCACAGCCUCCAGAACAGCUGAAGCCAACUUAAAACAAAACAGAGUUAAAUGUCAGCAGAAAAAUACCAAAAUAAAAUACGACAUUAAUUUUACAAGCUGGUCCUCCCUCUGCUUCACUAACUUGGCCGUAGCCACUGCAAAGAGAAGGAAGAAAAGCAUAAAGCACAACCGCGAUUUAACCUUUAAAACGCAAGCCGCUACGACAGGCAGCUCAGUUACAGUAGCAAGGAGGUUCUGCACUAACUGGCUGAGGGUAAGGUUGUUUAUUAUUAUUAUUAUUAUUUUAUUGCUAUUGUUCCAGGCUCUGUCCACACAUGGCUACACGUGUACUAUAUACAAGCCACUUCAAAAUUAAUAUCCUAAUGCUUUACCCUCUAAAUUUAUACAAUAAAUACUGGUCAUUUAUGACAGCAAUAUAUAGUAAUUUUAGCUACAUAUUUUCUCAACUUCUGUCUUAUAGGCACAACAAUCUCCCAGAUGAGAUGAGAUAUGGAGUGCCCUCCACGGGCAGCCAGUAAGAAGGUCAGAGUUGAGUCUGCUGCGGCUACGAGCGCUAGGGAACAGGCUGCAAUGCACAGCCCACGCUCGGGUCGGUGCCAAGCUGCUCGUGCACAGUUCUCCUUACAAGGACGAUACAGCUCAACCCUCUCCAGAGUCAUGGAAGAUUCUGAGGACUGAAUUCCUUAAACAUUAGCUGGCAGGCUAUUUGGAGACAAACUUCUCACAUAUAAGAUCAAACUAAAAUAUGGCUGUCCUGGCUGGUUGUGUGUCAACUUGACACAAGCUGGAGUUAUCACAGAGAAAGGAGCUUCCAUAAGAUCCAGCUGUAAGGCAUUUUCUCCAUUAGUGAUCGAGGACGGGAGGGCCCAUUGCGGGUGGUGCCAUCCCUGGGCCUGGUAGUCCUGGGUUCUAUAAGAAAGCAAGCUGAGCAAGCCAGGGGAAGCAAACCAAUAAGAAACAUCCCUCCAUGGCCUCUGCAUCAGCUCCUGCUCCCUGACCUGCUUGAGUUCCAGUCCUGACUUCCUUUGGUGAUGAACAGCAAUGUGGAAGUGUAAGCUGAAUAAAUCCUUUCCUCCCCAACUUGCUUCUUGGUCAAGAUGUUUGUGCAGGAACAGAAACCCUCACUGAGACACUGAUCUUACGUUGGAUGCGACUUAUCCACCUGACCCUUUUCAAUGUGCUUCAACCUGCUUGCUUCAUCCUCUACCAACCCUAACCCAGGCACGUUGGCAUUGUCUUUCUGUUUGGUUUAAGGACACGUUUGGUGUUCUGGUUUAGGGUCUAUGUUAGCAGUGAUCUAACAGGGCCUUGUACGGUCAGUGGAGCACUUCCUUGUACGGUCAGUGGAGCACUCUGCUCUGAGCUACACUCUGGCAAGCACCUUUAACAGGGUGUGUAUAGAACUUGGCUUAAACUGAAAACUGAAUCUGGGUCUGCGAAUCAGGCAGCAACCCUCCUCCCACACCUAUCUACACGGCUCACUAAUACAAUGAGGAAAGAUGUUCAGAAUAGCCGUGAUCGUGGUCCUAAUGGAAAAUGGAAAAAUGUUUAAGAUGACAUUUUACAGUAGUAAAAUUACAUGUAGGACAUUAAAAUAUGAAGCCUGACAGUAGGAAGUACAACAGACUCUACUGCAUUUCUAUUAAAAUGAAAACCAUUACCUCACUCUUUGCAAAUGUUAAACAUGGAAAGAUGUCCUCCUGGUAGAUUUUGUCCAGGAAAGGACACGUUCUGUCCAUCGUGGGCUCAUCCUUCCAAGAUCUGAACUCAUUAUACAGCGAUAAAUCAGCCUAACAAACCAAAGCAAUACAAAACAACUUUAAAAAGGAAAAAAAAUAAAAUAAAACAUUUGAUAAAA
rnacentral:lncRNA from 1 species